GUGACUUUUUUAAGAAAUCAUAGAAUAAUUAAGGUUGGAAAAGACCUCCAAGAUCAUCUGGUCCAACCAUCCCCCUACCACCAUAUCAUCUCCUAAGCCAUGUCCCUUUGCACCAUGUCCAACCUUUCCCUAAACACCCCAGGGACAGUGACUCUACCACUUCCCUGGGCUAACCAUUCCGAUGCCUGACUGCUUUCUGAGAAAUGUCUCCUAAUUUCCAACCUGAAC